rnacentral:RNase_P_RNA from 1 species
CUCGCUUAAGGGGCCACUACCGAGGAACGUACGUUCCUGCCGAUGCCCCUGGGAAGGUCUGAGACAAAGGCCCUUGGGUAUCCUAGAUGGAUAACCUCUGAAUUAGAGGGGUGGAUCACUAGAAACAGGCUUGACGAGUAACACUGGGCAGAUGACUUUGUUCUGACGUCAGAGCAGAGGAUGCUUGAAGCUGCGUCACAGUUGGAAAGGUUCCACGGCCGGCAUAGUCAGUUCAAUCAGCGAGGUAGCGUCCCAAAAGGCGCUAUAACUCAAUUCAGACUACUCUUCA